UACGUAGGGUGCGAGCGUUAAUCGGAAUUACUGGGCGUAAAGCGUGCGCAGGCGGUUUUGCAAGCCGGAUGUGAAAUCCCCGGGCUCAACCUGGGAAUGGCAUUCGGGACUGCAAGGCUGGAGUGCGGCAGAGGGAGACUGGAAUUCCUGGUGUAGCAGUGAAAUGCGUAGAUAUCAGGAGGAAUACCGAUGGCGAAGGCAGGUCUCUGGGCUGACACUGACGCUCAUGCACGAAAGCGUGGGGAGCAAACAGG
rnacentral:rRNA from 1 species